rnacentral:rRNA from 1 species
CGAGGGCCGUAUUUAUUAGAUAUCAGCCAAUAAGCUUCUGCUAUUGUGGUGACUCAUAGUAACUUAAUCGGAUCGCAUGGGCUUGCCCCGCGACAAACCAUUCAAGUUUCUGCCCCAUCAUGCUUUCGAUGGUAGUGUAUUGGACUACCAUGGCUUUCACGGGUAACGGAGGAUUAGGGUUCGAUUCCGGAGAGGGAGCCUGAGAAACGGCUACCACUUCCACGGAAGGCAGCAGGCGCGUAAAUUACCCAAUCCUGAUUCAGGGAGGUAGUG